CUGGCGGCGUGCCUAAUACAUGCAAGUCGGACGGUCUUUCUAUGGAAGCUUGCUUCCACUGAGAAGAUAGUGGCGAACGGGUGAGUAACACGUGGGUAACCUGCCCAUAAGAGGGGGGAUAACAUCCGGAAACGGGUGCUAAUACCGCAUAGUUUUCUUGAUCGCAUGAUCGGGAAAGGAAAGACGGCCUUUGUGCUGUCGCUUAUGGAUGGACCCGCGGCGUAUUAGUUAGUCGGUGAGGUAACGGCUCACCAAGACGAUGAUACGUAGCCGACCUGAGAGGGUGAUCGGCCACAUUGGGACUGAGACACGGCCCAAACUCCUACGGGAGGCAGCAGUAGGGAAUCUUCCGCAAUGGACGAAAGUCUGACGGAGCAACGCCGCGUGAGUGAAGAAAAGGUUUUCGGAUCGUAAAACUCUGUUGUCAGAGAAGAACAAGUUGGAGAGUAACUGCUCCAGCCUUGACGGUAUCUGACCAGAAAGCCACGGCUAACUACGUGCCAGCCGCAGC
rnacentral:rRNA from 1 species